AACAGAUUCCUUUAUGCUGGACAUGGGGCAGUUAAAGACACCCGUUGAUCUUGGGUCAGAAGCUAAAAUAGUAAAGUAAAUAGACUCAGGAGCACUGAUGAUAAAGUACAUGGUGAUGUAAUGUAAAUUUGUUUAAUCAAUCCAAAAGGUGGUAUUUAGUAGAAGGAGGUUUAUGAAGACAUUCUACAUUGUUAAAGGUAUA